ACGGGGUGCAGCAGGCGCGAAACCUUUACAAUGCACGAAAGUGUGAUAAGGGAAUUCCACGUGCAAGCUAUGCUUGCUUUUCUCAAGUCUAAAACGCUUGGGGAAUAAGGGCUGGGCAAGACCCGUGCCAGCCGCCGCGGUAAUACGGGCAGCUCUAGUGGCGUUCGCGAAUAUUGGGCCUAAAGCGUACGUAGCCUGUUAAGUAAGUUCCUGGUGAAAGCAUGCGACUCAAUCGUGUGAGUUGCCAGGAAAACUGCUCGACUUGGGACCGGAAGAGGUCGGAGGUAUUCUAGGGGUAGGGGUAAAAUCCUGUAAUCCUUAGAGGACCAUCGGUGGCGAAGGCGUCCGACUGGGACGGGUCCGACGGUGAGGUACGAAAGCUAGGGGAGCGACCCGGAUUAGAUACCCGGUUAGUCCUAGCCGUAAAUGAUGUCUGUUUGGUAUUGCUGGGCUUACGAGGCCUCGCAGUGCCGUAGGGAAGCCGUUAAACAGACCGCCUGGGAGUACGCCGCAAGGC
rnacentral:rRNA from 1 species